ensembl:snRNA U1 U1 spliceosomal RNA
AUACUUCCCUGGUAGAGGAGACAUCAUGAACAGGAAGGUAGUUUUCCCAGGGCGAGGCUCACCCAUCUGCUGAGCCCUGUGAUUUCCCCAAAUGCAAGAAACUCAACUGCAUCAUUUGUGUUAGUGGGAAACUCUGUUCACAUUUUCUCU